rnacentral:rRNA from 1 species
UACAGAGGGGGCAAGCGUUGUUCGGAAUUACUGGGCGUAAAGGGCGCGUAGGCGGCCUGCUAAGUCGAACGUGAAAUCCCUGGGCUCAACCCAGGAACUGCGUCCGAUACUGGUUGGCUUGAAUCCGGGAGAGGGACGUGGAAUUCCAGGUGUAGCGGUGAAAUGCGUAGAUAUCUGGAGGAACACCGGUGGCGAAGGCGACGUCC